rnacentral:rRNA from 1 species
UGGGGAAUAUUGGACAAUGGACGCAAGUCUGAUCCAGCCAUGCCGCGUGAAGGAUGAAUGCCCUCUGGGUUGUAAACUUCUUUUAUAGGGGAAGAAAGAUACUUUUUUUAAGGUAGUUGACGGUACCCUAUGAAUAAGCACCGGCUAACUCCGUGCCAGCAGCCGCGGUAAUACGGAGGGUGCAAGCGUUAUCCGGAUUUACUGGGUUUAAAGGGUGCGUAGGCGGGCAUGUAAGUCAGUGGUGAAAUACCGGAGCUUAACUUCGGAACUGCCAAUGAUACUAUAUGUCUUGAAUAGUGUGGAGGUAAGCGGAAUAUGUCAUGUAGCGGUGAAAUGCAUAGAUAUGACAUAGAACACCGAUUGCGGAGGCAGCUUGCUACGCAAAUAUUGACGCUGAGGCACGAAAGCGUGGGGAUCAAACA